UAUUAAAAAAUACGAGUGACGAAUUCUAUUUAUCAUAUCACUGUCAAUUUUGUUUAUUUUCCACUUAAAUGAUUAAUAAACAAAACCCCAACGCUCGGACGUAACAAUCUGUUAUGACGUAUGAAUACAUGUACAUGUCAAUCACUCAGCUGAUAAUCGGUUUGUCAAUACACCUUGAAGGUUAUCUAUCCUUUCUGAAACUAGGUUAAAAGCGGAAACAAAGAUUGUAGCUAUUUAAACAAUUUAAUACUAAUUUAACAGUUUUAUAUAUAAACAAUGAAAUUAUAAUAAAAUAAUUGACAAUAGCCAAAUUUUUCAAAAUAACUUUUCGCGGCAUUUUGCCGAGUACUACGUCAUUGUCAGACAUAGGCCUAUCUACGUCACUGACCUAUUUAAGGGCUUCAUCAAGUUCAGUCUUAGUCUGUCGAAAAUAAGUCUUCGUCGUUUUAGGGGGACAACAGGACGUUUAGGCUGAGCCACAUUUAUUACGAUGUUGCUUUAGAAAGAGGUUGGCAUCACAGGAUAAAUGUGAAAGCUGGCGAGCAACAGCUUGGUAUUUACAAGAUGAUACCAUGUUUGUAUCAAGAGGCAACACUACUGCCAGUCCAGUGCAAGUUGAUGCAGGAGAGGAAGACUGGGCGUCAGUUCCGGACCAGGGGCCUGCCCCCCUAAAUUUUGCGACAGUUAUAAUUUUAUUACAUAUUAAUUUUCUCUUCUUUUUUUUUACGAUCCCCUCCAAAGUUCCAUUUUAAAUUUAAAUUUAAAUUCAGUGACUUUAUUACUGAUAAUAACUUAAUUGACUGUCACGGUAACUGCACAGUUAUUGCUAAAUGUGUGAAUCAACUCGCCAUCGGGUAUGAUCAAAAAUGCAUGUAAAUUACCAGCAUUAAGCUAGUUGCAACUAGGUAAUCGAACUCCGACGACUGUUCAUAACACGUGCAUUGCAGGGGCCACCGGAUUGCAGGGUGGUGACAGAUUAUACAUAGUCGAACCGUGGCUACGAUGUAGUACCGGUGUUUUAUUAUAGAAAUUGGCCUUCGUGACAGAUUUCUAAACAGAAAUUAUGCCAUUAUUAUAAAAAUGUCUUUAUAAUGAGAUGUUGUGUGUAUAUAUUAUCUUUAGUAUCGUAUGCAGAUGAUAUAGUGUUACUGAGCUGAUAAUGAACUUAUAAUGAGCUGGUGUGUGUAUCGUCAACGUCCCCAACUGCGUUAUGCUUCCAACUCCGUUCACUUUGUUUUCUCGUGCACGGUUCGCGCAAUCAACAUACGAUUUGUUUUCAUCAGCAUGUCGUUAAUUUCAGAGGUUUUUCUUCACAGUUCAGGAACAUUUUCAUUAACAAUAAAGUUCAGAAAAGUAAGUAUCUAAAUACAAAACUUUACAAACCCCUAACACCAUUAAUUUUACUAAGUCGUUUUUGUUUAUUCCUUAAAAUUACCGAUAUCGGGUCCACAUGACUCGUAGAAAUUGACUUAAACUGGAGAAAGAUGAAUUAACAUUCGGUGCAUAUCACAUGAUCUCACACGUGCCACAUCAACAAGCCUAAAGCAUUAAACGUUUACGAUUUUUAACACCCCUGUUGUUAGAAUUUGUUUUCAAUUAUUAUAUUCGAUCUGCAAAAUGUAUGCUACAUUUUUGUGCCUCUGUUGUAGUGAAUAGUUUUUAUAAUCCAUUCAUAACAAUUGUAAAUAAUUUUGAGUGUAUAAAUUGUGUUAAUUAAGAAUCAAUUGGUUAAAAAAAAAAUAUUUUUUAACUAUUCACUGGUAUAAACGUGAUGCCUAUCAGUAAUGACAUCAAGUGUUAGCGAUGUGUGUUGAUAAAACGCGGACCGGACCACAACGCUUGACAAAUUGAAUUUUUCCUUUUAAAAACAUAUUAAACUAAGUGUUCGACAACUGUGCAUAGUUAAGACACAUAUUUUUGUUUAUAUAGUGGCAUUAAAAAUGGAAAAUGACGAAUCGCACAUGCGCGCUACGACACUUUUUGCAAACGCAUGCGCCUGAACGCAGUUAGAAACGUCGCACUCUUUCCUGUUUACCGGAGGGUGUUUCACUUUACUUUACUAGAAUAUAUUUGCUUUACGUCCACAUUGUAGAUUUUUCACGUUAAUUGAUUGCAAUCUGUUUUGUUUCACGUAUCGUAGCUCAAAAAUGUAGAAUAGUAUUUCCGUAAAUAUCUUAUUCGUGUUUUUGUCGUUAGGUGAACGCAGUUUGGGACGUAGAUGGUAUAUAUUAUUUUUAUUAUCGUAUGCAGAUGAUAUAGCGUUAUUGGCAUAUAAUUAUGAUGACUUACACUUAUGCUUAGAUACUAUUCAUGAUUAGCGUAUACACUGGAAAUUAGCCGUUAAUAUUGAAAAGACAAAGAUAAUGGUAUUUCAAAAAGGAGGGAGGUUGGCAAAUAGUAUGAAGUUUAAAUAUGGUGAUAGUAAUGUAGAAAGUGUAAGUAGAUUUUCAUAUUUAGGUGUAUUGUUCACACCAAAUAGUUCGUAUACUGAAAUGCCAAAAAAGCAUUAGUAGGUCUGGCACAAAAAAGGCAUCUAUCAAAUGAGAAAGUACUUAAAAUCAUUUCUGUCACUAAAACCUAGUCAUGUAUGCAGUAUUUUCGAUAAGCUUAUAUAUCCUAUUUUAUGCUAUGGUUGUGAAGUAUGGGGUUUUACUUCAGGGUUGUAUUUAGAAAGAAUGCAUUUGAAGUUUUGUAAACAAACAUUAGGGGUGAAACAAAAGCAAUAUUUGGAUAAUAUUUAUAUUCAGAAAUUUAGAUAAGCAUUGGUCAGACUUCGUGUAGCAUCACAUAGAUUAUCGGCUGAAACAUGAAGACGGAAUAAGCCUAACCCUAUUUUAUUAGAACACAGAACGUGCAUAUAUGUAAUGACAUAAGAAGAUGAAUAUCAUUUUGUACUUUGUAUGAUAGCAUACGAAAAAAGUAUAUUCCACAUUAGUUUAGAAAAUACCCUAGUAUGUUCAAAUUCAUUGAUUUGUGUAACGAUAAUAAUGCUCAGGUAUUAAGAAAUUUAGCUCUGUAUUGUUUUAAAGCAUACCAACUAAGGAAUAAUAUACUAUCUAAAGCUUCUCCGUAACACGACAAUCUUUACGUAUAUCUUUAAUUACUUGUUCAUGAAACAACCGUCUUUUGGGGCAUAUAUAUAUAUAUAUAUAUAUAUAUAUAUAUAUAUAUUUGUGUCAAUAUACCACCACAUUUUAUUUUAUUUUAUCUGUGUUUAUAUUGUGAAUGCCAAUAGGCCUAUUGCAAUACACAUUAUUAUUAUUAUUUAUGUGUUAAAUUAGUGUAAUAAAAUUUUAUUGUGAUACAGUUUCUGUUACAAAACGUUGUGUAGGCUAAUAAAUUGUUGCCAGUGA